ensembl:lncRNA C18h18orf32 similar to human chromosome 18 open reading frame 32
GCCAGAUCCCUUGGAACAGGAGUUAAGAGACACUGAGCUGCCCUGUGAAUGCUGGGAAUCGAACCCAGGUCCUCUGGAAGAGCAGCUGGUGCUUUUAACCACUGAGACAUCUCUCUAGUUCUGCUAACUGACUUUUAAAUGCUGCUGAUUAAACAUGCUCAGUACAGCGGAUCUCAGCCUUCCUACUGCUGUGACCCAUUAAUACAGUUCUUCAUGUUGCAGUGGCCCCCAACCACAAAGUUAUUUCUGUUGCUACUUUGUAACUGUAAAUAUCUGUGUUUAUCUAUAGUCUUAGGCGACCCCUGUGUCCUUCUACUCCCAAGGAGUUACAACCCAUAUGUUGGGAACCAAGGAGUUACAACCCAUAUGUUGAGAACCGCUGGUCUGGCAGGAUGUAAACAAGCCCUACCAUUGAGAUAACACCCCCAGCUUCAUUGACUGAUUUGUCUGUCUGUUAGUUUUUUUAAGACAGAGUUUCUCUGUAUAACUCUGCUGCCCUGGAAUUCAUUCUGUAGACUAAGCUGGCCUCAAACUCAAAGAGAUCUGCCUUCCUCUGCCUCCUGUGUACCAUUUCUGCCCAGUACCUGAUUUUUUCUUUUAAAUCAAAGGUACGUUUUUAAAAGUUUUGGAGCUUAAUCUGGAAAAUUCUUAAAUUGUUUUAACUAGAACUAAUUGCAUCCUUUAUAAAAUAUCUAGUCAUUCCUUGAUGUAAACUUAUACGUGCUUAUAGUUUUUGCUUGUAAUUCAUUUCAGAAUUGCUUUCAGAACGAAUCAUAACACUAGAGCCAAGGGGCAGUGGUGCAUGCCUUUAAUCCCAGCACUCAGGAGGCAGGGACACAUAGAUCUCCGUGAGUUCGAAGGCAUCCAGGGCUACAGAGAGAAACCCAAAUUAAAAAAAAAAAAAGAAUCAUAACACUUUCACCUGCAUUAUGAAUAGGUUAAAUUAUUUUUUUGUGCCGAUUCAUUUGAUAGUCAGUGCUAUUUAACUUAUAGUAUUCUGAAAAUUAGGAUAAUUGAAACCUUUGUGUACUGUUCUGAAACUUCCUCUCAAGGUCUUGUGCUGGUUAGUUUUAUUUGUUAACUUGGUACAACCUAGCAUUCCCCGGGAAGAGAGUUUUAAUAAGGGAUAAUCGAGAUCAUUUGGCCUUGAGCAUGUCUGUAAGGGAUUGUCUGAUUGAUCACUAAAGGAUGAAGACCUAGCCCUUGUGGGCAUCACAAUCCCUUAGGCAGGAGGUGAACAGCAUAGGAGGAGAAGGCUGCUGAGAGCCAGCAAGCAAGGAUCUUUGUGUUUUUCUAUCUGCUCCUGAUUGUUGAUGUAAUUUUUCAAGUUUCUACCUCAACUUCUCGUCACAACCGUGGGCUAUACCCUGGAACUGAAAUCCUAGUCUUAAGAGACUCUUUUGAUUUAACAGAGCAAGUGUCCCUUUCUAAGAGAUAGCUGACUUUCAGAACCAGAUUUGCCAGUAUGACUUUUAAUUAUCAAGAACAUUAAGAAGGGCUGUCUUAGGGUUCUACUGCUGUGCACAGACACCAUGACCACAGCAAGUCUUACAAGGACAGCAUUUAAUUGGAGCUGGCUUACAGGUCACAGGUUCAGUCCAUUAUCAUCAACAUGGCAGCAUCCAGGCAGGCAUGGUGCAGGAGGAGCAGAGAGCUCUACAUCUUCACCUGAAGGCUGCUAGUGCCUGACUUACUGGCAGCUAGGAUGAGGGUCUUAAGGCCCACACCCACAGUGACACACCUACUCCAACAGGGCCACACCUCCUAGUAGUGCCACUCCCUGAGCAGAGCAUAUACAAGCCAUCACAAUGGCUUUAGCCCCAGAACAGGAGGGGUAGAGGAAGAACUGGUCCACAUAGAGAGUUCCAGCCAGUUUCAGAAAUCCAGCGUGGGACGAUGGUGUGCAUUCCUUGUAUCGUCAUUCCAGUGCUGCUCUGGAUCUUCAAAAAGUUCCUGGAGCCAUACAUAUACCCCGUGGUCAGUCGCAUAUGGCCGAGAAAAGCUGUACAGCAAUUGGACAAUAAGAAUACGGGCAAGGUAGACUGCAAGGGUGCAGAUACAAAUGGAUUCUCCACAAAAGGACCAACAGAGGUCUCCGAUAAAAAGAAAGACUAGUGUGGUUCUCUUGAAGGCCCUGGGCUGUUUCCAAAUGGACCUGAUAACAUGAAGCACCUUCUCUGUCUCUGACCUUUUUUCUCUGAGACCAGGAUUCUAGAUAAAUAGUUUAGCUUCUGCCUGAUACUAAUCAGGGAGUACAGGUAUUUAUAUUUAAAAUUCCAGUAGUUAUAUUUAAUGAGCAUACCUACGUUCCCUUUUCAUUAAAGUAGCUUUCAUUUCUAUUAUUCCGUUUUACUGAUAGGAACAAAUAGGAGGUCUGUGUGAGCAGACACUCAGAGCCCAGUCCUUAGGCCUUUGCCUUCUUUCUCAUGAGUUUGCCGUUUUCACUUCCCGUGGGUUCUUGUACCUUGAGUGGGAGGAGUCUUAGCGUGACACAGGGCGGUCCGUGGUGGGAUGCGAUGUGAUUACUGAUCACUACCAAGCGCAGUGGCCAGCAGAUGGCCGAGAAUAGUCACUGCUCCGAGGAAGCUGGGAAAGGUCUAACAUCAACAUCAUCGUCAGUCACACAACUUCUAAUUCUCUGUACUUCUAGUCCUGACAAUGUAUUAAACACCCAUUUAACUUGUGGUUCUUUCUUUUUGUCUCUUCAUAUUUGAAGGGUUCGUUGUUGCUGUUGUUGUUGUUGCUGUUGGUUUUUAGUUUCUUU